GAGGAAUAUUGGUCAAUGGGCGCAAGCCUGAACCAGCCAUCCCGCGUGAAGGAAGAAGGCGCUAUGCGUUGUAAACUUCUUUUCCAGGGGAAUAAAAUUUUGUACGUGUACGGAAUUGAAGGUACCCUGGGAAUAAGCAUCGGCUAACUCCGUGCCAGCAGCCGCGGUAAUACGGAGGAUGCGAGCGUUAUCCGGAUUUAUUGGGUUUAAAGGGUGUGUAGGCGGACUAAUAAGUCAGUGGUGAAAACCUGCAGCUUAACUGUAGAACUGCCAUUGAUACUGUUGGUCUUGAGUGUGGUCAAGGUAGGCGGAAUGUGUAAUGUAGCGGUGAAAUGCUUAGAUAUUACACAGAACACCGAUUGCGAAGGCAGCUUGCUGGGCCAUUACUGACGCUGAUGCACGAAAGCGUGGGGAUCGAAC
rnacentral:rRNA from 1 species